rnacentral:tRNA from 1 species
GGGGGUGUAGCUCAGUUGGGAGAGCGUCUGGUUUGCAACCAGAAGGUCAGCGGUUCAACUCCGCUCAUCUCCA